GUCGAACGGUAACAGGUUAAGCUGACGAGUGGCGAACGGGUGAGUAAUGUAUCGGAACGUGCCCAGUCGUGGGGGAUAACUGCUCGAAAGAGCAGCUAAUACCGCAUACGACCUGAGGGUGAAAGCGGGGGAUCGCAAGACCUCGCGCGAUUGGAGCGGCCGAUAUCAGAUUAGGUAGUUGGUGAGGUAAAGGCUCACCAAGCCGACGAUCUGUAGCUGGUCUGAGAGGACGACCAGCCACACUGGGACUGAGACACGGCCCAGACUCCUACGGGAGGCAGCAGUGGGGAAUUUUGGACAAUGGGCGCAAGCCUGAUCCAGCCAUGCCGCGUGCGGGAAGAAGGCCUUCGGGUUGUAAACCGCUUUUGUCAGGGAAGAAAAGGUUCUGGCUAAUACCUGGGACUCAUGACGGUACCUGAAGAAUAAGCACCGGCUAACUACGUGCCAGCAGCCGCGGUAAUACGUAGGGUGCAAGCGUUAAUCGGAAUUACUGGGCGUAAAGCGUGCGCAGGCGGUUAUGCAAGACAGAGGUGAAAUCCCCGGGCUCAACCUGGGAACUGCCUUUGUGACUGCGUGGCUAGAGUACGGUAGAGGGGGAUGGAAUUCCGCGUGUAGCAGUGAAAUGCGUAGAUAUGCGGAGGAACACCGAUGGCGAA
rnacentral:rRNA from 1 species